UUCACUUCGGCAGCAAUCUACUAAAAUUGGAAUGAUAGAGAGAAGCUUAGCAUGGCCCCUGUGCAAGGAUGACAUGAAAAUCCCUGAGGCAUUCUAUAUUUUG
ensembl:snRNA U6 U6 spliceosomal RNA